AUUGAACGCUGGCGGAAUGCUUUACACAUGCAAGUCGAACGGCAGCACGGACUUCGGUCUGGUGGCGAGUGGCGAACGGGUGAGUAAUGUAUCGGAACGUGCCCAGUCGUGGGGGAUAACGUAGUGAAAAUUACGCUAAUACCGCAUACGAUCUAUGGAUGAAAGCGGGGGAUCGCAAGACCUCGCGCGAUUGGAGCGGCCGAUAACAGAUUAGGUAGUUGGUGGGGUAAAGGCCCACCAAGCCAACGAUCUGUAGCUGGUCUGAGAGGACGACCAGCCAAACUGGAACUGAGACACGGUCCAGACUCCUACUGGAGGCAGCAGUGGGGAAUUUUGGACAAGGGGCGAAAGCCUGAUCCAGCCAUUCCGCGUGCAGGAUGAAGGCCCUCGGGUUGUAACCUGCUUUUGUACAGAACGAAAAGGUUUCUACUAAUACUAGGAGCUCAUGACGGUACUGUAAGAAUAAGCACCGGCUAACUACGUGCCAGCCGCCGCCGUAA
rnacentral:rRNA from 1 species